rnacentral:lncRNA from 1 species
CUAGAGAGCUGCCCCAGAAGCAGAGCCCAUAAAUACAGUGAUUGGACGGUGACAACCUUAGGGGAUCACAGGGCUGCCGCGCAAAUCCCCAGGCUUUCUCAUUCCCUCCCCAACCCCAAGAGAUCAGGCAAGCCACGACUCCUCAGCCACUGCCAGCUCUCCUCCAGCGCACCUUACCUUCCAGUCUCCUCAGCGAUCAUUCUUUCCAGCGAUCAUUCUUUCGGCAGUAACAGUCCUUUAAGACCACCCCCUAGAGAAUCUAACAUUUCCUUGUGGCACGUCACUGAGCCAUCAGGGUGGAGCCAAGAAAGAAGUGAGAAAACGGAAGAACAGAAGGUGUGUGCACAGGGUCAGCCCAGACUCAGCCUGAGCAAUCUUCACCCCAUGAAAGAAAACAAAGGCUCUACCCUGAGCACGGAGGGCAGAUUUGAUCGGCAUCACGGCUCUAGCCUUUCAGAGUGUCGACUCUUUGGGUUAGUCUCUGGGCUCCGAGAACCUGGCACAACAGAGGCAAAAGCACACUGCGCAAUUGCCGCCUCAGAUGGAACUGUGGGUGCAAAGGCCCUGAGGCAGGAACAACUUCAGGUAUAAUCAAGGAACGGCUUAGAGACCAGUGAAACUGGACUGAGAGGAAAUGGCAAGUGGAGUUUCAAGACAUGUCGGAAUCACGGACCCUUGAAGGACUUUGGAUUCCACCCAGUGCACGAUGGCCACCAAAAUUGGGAAGCGGGGAGAUGUUAAACUCUGUUUGACUUAGGGUGACUCUGUUCCUUGAGUAAGAAACCACAACCAAACCUAAUUCAUAACCACAGAAAGCUUGUGCUUGUACUUUUCUAAGAGAUAGCUGGGUCUCAGCCAAUCGGUGCAGCCCGGCUUCAGGUGGCUGUCUGACAGACCAAGCUAUAAAGAAGUACGCUGUCACUAUGCCUCAUUUUCACUACGUGCACGGUGUGAUAAGACACUGGUUAAAAUCAACUUGGAGAGAAAGGGUUUAUUUGGUUUGCAGGUUGAAAGGACAAAAAUAAAUAAAUAAAUAAAUAAAUAAAACAAAAACCUGGUGAGGUGGGUACCUUUUGGCAGAUCCUGACAAGGUAUGCCCCUAAGAGAGUUAGUGUAAGGGGUUUAUUGGGGCAGGAGAGAGUGAAAGAGCAAAAUGCCUUCUUGGAGUGGGG